GACGAACGCUGGCGGCGUGCUUAACACAUGCAAGUCGAACGGAAAGGCCCUAGCUUGCUGGGGUACUCGAGUGGCGAACGGGUGAGUAACACGUGAGUAAUCUGCCCUGCACUCUGGGAUAAGCCUAGGAAACUGGGGCUAAUACCGGAUAUGACCUUCCUCCUCAUGGGGGGGGGUGGAAAGUUUCUCGGUGUGGGGUGGGCCCGGGGCCUAUCCGCUUGGUGGGGGGGGGAUGGCCUAACAAGGCGAUGACGGGUUGGCCGGCUGGGGGGGGGGCCGGGCACAAUGGGGCUGGGGUUCCGCCCCGGCUCCUUCGGGGGGGAGCAGUGGGGAAUAAUGCACCAAGGGCGGGAGGCUUAUGGAGCCACGCCGGGUUGGGGAAGACGGCCUUUGGGUUGGAAACCGCUUUUCCCUGGGGCCGAGGCUUAAUUGCCGUUAUCUGCAGAAGAAGCCCCGCCUACUUCUUU
rnacentral:rRNA from 1 species